UACGGAGGGUGCAAGCGUUAUCCGGAUUCACUGGGUUUAAAGGGUGCGUAGGCGGACAGGUAAGUCAGUGGUGAAACCUCCGGGCUUAACUCGGAAACUGCCGUUGAUACUAUCUGUCUUGAAUAUCAUGGAGGUAAGCAGAAUAUGUCAUGUAGCGGUGAAAUGCUUAGAUAUGACAUAGAAUACCGAUAGCGAAGGCAGCUUACUACAUGUUAAUUGACGCUGAGGCACGAAAGCGUGGGGAGCAAACAGG
rnacentral:rRNA from 1 species